GCUCAUCUUCUAUUCCAUUUCACGGUAUUUGUUAACGCCGUAUGUUUUAUUUUAUCGCACCUUCUUCAAAGAGCAUUUGAGUUAGGAAGUGGAACCUGUGGCAGCUGAAUGAAUGAUUUAUUUAGAAUUAAGAAAAUCAAUAAAAAGUUAAUUAGUUUAGUUUAACUGAAAGAUUAUAGAUUUGUUAGACAUCCAUAAAAUUAAACCAUUCAUAGCAAUCAUUUCAAAACCUAAUAUGUCUUCCAAUUUUUAAACAAAAAAAUUAAUUGUCAUAAUGUUGUUAAAUUAUAGGUUUAAUAUCUAUUUUGGUUUUUAGAAUCAUUGUUCAAAAUAUUUUUUUGAAAAAAAAAUUAAAAAUUUCUCAAUUUUGUAUAAAAACAGUUCAAAUUAGUUCUUUUAAAACUCUAAGAUGUUAAUGAUUGUAUGGAAAAGUCAACCAACGAGAGACUAUCACGUGACAGUCUCCUACUCACGCAAAUUAGAGUUUGCAAAAAAAUGUUUUCUCCUUCUCGAACCAGGGUUUUCAACCCUCAUCUACAGGCGGCUACUGGUUCUUUCAUUGCACAAAGGAGCUCGUGAUGGUGUGAUUAAAGGAGAUUUUUAUGUUGUGGUUCCUUCUCUGUUUACAGGUUUGGAGAUUGAAGGAAAUGUUGUCUGUGUUUCUUCUACGAUGAAGAAGAUGAUGCUGCGAAGAAGGAGAUGUUUAUUGGUCAUGGUGGUUCUACAAUUCGGAAUGUUAUAUAAGUUAGUGUUUUUGAAGGUGAUGGAGGAGAUGAACUCGUCUUUGCAGUGCUAUUUAGGUUAGGGUUUCCGAAUGUUGGCCAUGGAGGUUCAAAUUAGGCGAUUGGGUUUCUAGGUUUUUCUAAUUUCUGAUGUGAGUUUUGAAUCGAAUGAGAAUGAACUCACGAUUAGGAUUCGAAGGGGUGAAUCACGAUUUUGGUUUGGGAUUUUCUCCGAACACCAUUGCAAUUAAAGGAGCAUGGUUGCUGUGGAGGCGAGGCAUGAUUUAGGGUUUCAUGUGUUUUUGAUUUUGUGCAGGUCAACAUGGUUGUUGAAGGUGCAUAGUGAAGGUUGAUGGUGGUUCUGCAAUUCAGAAUGAAGAUGGUGCAAUGUUCGCGUGUGUAGGUUGAUCGGGUGGUGUCUAUGGAGGUUUGAUUGCUCGAGAAGAUAAACCUAUGGUGGCGCUAAUGGCAACAUGAUGGUCCUGUGGUGGCGGUUUGCACGAAUCCUAACUCUUUCUACAAACGUUGCCAAGUUAAUUGACCUUAACAUGCCACUUAAUAAAGAAGUAGACAGCGAACAGUUACAUCGUUAGAUUUUUAAUGCCAACUACAUCGUUAGAAUUUUAACACCAACUACAUUGUUAGAUUUU
rnacentral:lncRNA from 1 species